rnacentral:lncRNA from 1 species
UCGGUUCUUGGCAAAAUGUUUUAUCUAGUACUAGUAUAUGCUAAAAGCACAUGUCGACGAUGUCGUAUAACUGGCAAGAUAUUUUAAGACAAUAAAUGUGAAAAGAAAGUGACGUCGAUAAAUAAAAGUACAAUGAUGUUAAUCUUUUUUUUUUAAAGAUUCAUUAUGUGUUUGUCGGAUAUAAAUAUCUUGAUAUUCCAAGAUAUCAAAUCCACUAAAACUAAACGAGAAAACAAAGAAAAAAAAUGGUUGCUACAUUAGAAAAGAACUAAUGUUUGAUCAAAAAAAAAAAAAAAAGGAAAGAAGGAUUUAAUAAAAAGCAAAUCUCCAAAAUAGCAUAUUUCUAAGUUUAUGUCACAAAAAUAUCACUCAAAAACUAAAAUGACCAAAAUAACGUUUUAUCUUUUGAAAAAUUUAAUUUUUUUUAUUUUUCAAAAUUUGAAAUCUUAUCCCAAAACCCCACUCCCAACCCUAAACUCUAAACCCUAAACCCUAAACUCUAAACCCUAAACCCUAAAUCAUAAACCUUAAAUCCUAAACCCCACCUUUUAACUCUAAACCUUAAACCCUAAACCCCACCCCUAAACUCUAAACCCUAAACCCUAAACUCUAAACCCUAGACUCUAAACCCUAAACCCUAAAUCCUAAAUCCUAAACCCCACCCCUUAACUCUAAACCCU